rnacentral:rRNA from 1 species
GAUGAACGCUGGCGGCGUGCCUAAUACAUGCAAGUCGAGCGAACGGACGAGAAGCUUGCUUCUCUGAUGUUAGCGGCGGACGGGUGAGUAACACGUGGAUAACCUACCUAUAAGACUGGGAUAACUUCGGGAAACCGGAGCUAAUACCGGAUAAUAUUUUGAACCGCAUGGUUCAAAAGUGAAAGACGGUCUUGCUGUCACUUAUAGAUGGAUCCGCGCUGCAUUAGCUAGUUGGUAAGGUAACGGCUUACCAAGGCAACGAUGCAUAGCCGACCUGAGAGGGUGAUCGGCCACACGGGAACUGAGACACGGUCCAGACUCCUACGGGAGGCAGCAGUAGGGAAUCUUCCGCAAUGGGCGAAAGCAUGACGGAGCAACGCCGCGUGAGUGAUGAAGGUCUUCGGAUCGUAAAACUCGGUUAUUAGGGAAGAACAUAUGUGUAAGUAACUGUGCACAUCUUGACGGUACCUAAUCAGAAAGCCACGGCUAACUACGUG